rnacentral:lncRNA from 1 species
GAGGUAUUGUGAGCUGUAAGAGGUAUUGUGAGCUGUAAGAGGUAUUGUGAGCUGUAAGAGGUAUUGUGAGCUGUAAGAGGUAUGAUGAGCUGUAAGAGGUAUGAUGAGCUGUAAGAGGUAUUGUGAGCUGUAAGAGGUAUUGUGAGCUGUAAGAGGUAUUGUGAGCUGUAAGAGGUAUGAUGAGCUGUAAGAGGUAUAGUGAGCUCUAUAAGAGGUAUUGUGAGCUGUAAGAGGUAUUGUGAGCUGUAAGAGGUAUGAUGAGCUGUAAGAGGUAUUGUGAGCUGUAAGAAGUAUGAUGACCUGGAAAGAGGUAUUGUGAGCUGGAAAGAGGUAUGGUGAGAUGGCAAUAGGUAUGGUGAACUGGCAGGAGGUAGAGUGAGCUAGCUGGGAAGAGGUAUGGUGAGCUGGCAGGAGGUAGAGUGAGUUUGUAGAAGGUAAAGUGAUUUGGCAGGAGGUAGAUCGAGUGAGCUGGCAGGAGGUAGAGUGAGCUUGUAGAAGGUAUAAAGUGAGCUGGCAGGAGGUAGAGUGAGCUUGUAGAAGGUAAAGUGAGCUGGCAGGAGGUAGAUCGAGUGAGCUGGCAGGAGGUAGAUCGAGUGAGCUGGCAGGAGGUAGAGUGAGCUUGUAGAGGUAAAGUGAGCUGGCAGGAGGUAGAUCGAGUGAGCUGGCAGGAGGUAGAGUGAGCUUGUAGAAGGUAAAGUGAGCUGGCAAGAGGUAGAGUGAGUUUGUAGAAGGUAAAGUGAGAUGGCAGGAGGUAGAUCGAGUGAGCUGGCAGGAGGUAGAGUGAGUUUGUAGAAGGUAAAGUGAGUUGGCAGGAGGUAGAUCGAGUGAGCUGACAGGAGGUAGAUCGAGUGAGCUGGCAGGAAGUAGAGUGAGCUUGUAGAAGGUAAAGUGAGCUAGCAGGAGGUAGAUCGAGUGAGCUGGCAGGAAGUAGAGUGAGCUUGUAGAAGGUAAAG